GACGAACGCUGGCGGCGGGCUUAACACAUGCAAGUCGAACGGAAAGGCCCUGCUUUUGUGGGGUGCUCGAGUGGCGAACGGGUGAGUAACACGUGAGUAACCUGCCCUUGACUUUGGGAUAACUUCAGGAAACUGGGGCUAAUACCGGAUAGGAGCUCCUGCUGCAUGGUGGGGGUUGGAAAGUUUCGGCGGUUGGGGAUGGACUCGCGGCUUAUCAGCUUGUUGGUGGGGUAGUGGCGUACCAAGGCUUUGACGGGUAGCCGGCCUGAGAGGGUGACCGGCCACAUUGGGACUGAGAUACGGCCCAGACUCCUACGGGAGGCAGCAGUGGGGAAUAUUGCACAAUGGGCGGAAGCCUGAUGCAGCAACGCCGCGUGCGGGAUGACGGCCUUCGGGUUGUAAACCGCUUUCGCCUGUGACGAAGCGUGAGUGACGGUAAUGGGUAAAGAAGCACCGGCUAACUACGUG
rnacentral:rRNA from 1 species